AUUGAACGCUGGCGGCAUGCCUUACACAUGCAAGUCGAACGGUAACAGGUCUUCGGAUGCUGACGAGUGGCGAACGGGUGAGUAAUACAUCGGAACGUGCCUAGUAGUGGGGGAUAACUACUCGAAAGAGUGGCUAAUACCGCAUGAGAUCUACGGAUGAAAGCAGGGGAUCGCAAGACCUUGUGCUACUAGAGCGGCCGAUGGCAGAUUAGGUAGUUGGUGGGAUAAAAGCUUACCAAGCCGACGAUCUGUAGCUGGUCUGAGAGGACGAUCAGCCACACUGGGACUGAGACACGGCCCAGACUCCUACGGGAGGCAGCAGUGGGGAAUUUUGGACAAUGGGCGCAAGCCUGAUCCAGCAAUGCCGCGUGCAGGAUGAAGGCCUUCGGGUUGUAAACUGCUUUUGUACGGAACGAAAAGCCCUGGGUUAAUACCUGGGGUUAUGACGGUACCGUAAGAAUAAGCACCGGCUAACUACGUGCCAGCCGCCGCGGUAACAC
rnacentral:rRNA from 1 species